GUGUCAGUGGCUGCAGGUUGGUUGGAGUUCACUGAAUCAGUGUCAGUGGCUGCAGGUUGGUUGGAGUUCACUGAACCAGUGUCAGUGGCUGCAGGUUGGCUGGUGUUCACUGAAUCAGUGUCAGGGGAUGCAGGUUGGCUGGUGUUCACUGAAUCAGUGUCAGGGGAUGCAGGUUGGGGGGGGGGUUCCCUGAAACAGUGUCAGUGGCUGCAAGUUGGUUGGUGUUCCCUGAAUCACUGUCAGUGGCUGCAGGUUGGUUAGUAUCAGUGGCUGCAGGUUGGUCAGGAGUUUGCUGAAUCCGACGCUGCAGCUGCAUGUUGUUUGAGUUCGAGGCU